GAGCGGCGGACGGGUUAGUAACGCGUGGGAAUAUGCCCUUCUCUACGGAAUAGCCAUUGGAAACGAUGAGUAAUACCGUAUACACCCUUCGGGGGAAAGAUUUAUCGGAGAAGGAUUAGCCCGCGUUAGAUUAGAUAGUUGGUGGGGUAAUGGCCUACCAAGUCUACGAUCUAUAGCUGGUUUUAGAGGAUGAUCAGCCACACUGGGACUGAGACACGGCCCAGACUCCUACGGGAGGCAGCAGUGGGGAAUCUUGCACAAUGGGCGAAAGCCUGAUGCAGCCAUGCCGCGUGAAUGAUGAAGGCCUUAGGGUUGUAAAAUUCUUUCGCUAGGGAUGAUAAUGACAGUACCUAGUAAAGAAGCCCCGGCUAACUUCGUGCCAGCAGCCGCGGUAAUACGAAGGGGGCUAGC
rnacentral:rRNA from 1 species